GAUUUUUUAAUUCAGAACUAUAUCUUUGGUGAACAUGGUAUUCAGAUUCAAAUGUGUUUUGCAAGUAAACAUGUCUCAUGCUUGUAAACUGAAGACUAGCAGUCUUAAAAACUGCAAUGUAUGCAGAGUUUAAAAUAUGGUAACUGAGAGCAGAGCUAAAAAUGCAUAGGCUGACAUUUAAGGAAUGAAGUCACAACACCUGUCAAACAUAAAAACAUGCUAAAAACAACUACAUGGGAGGGGUUUCAACUUUUAGAGAACUGUAUAUUAGGUUGCAUUCUGAAAAAGACUCUUUAGUUGCUUGGCCACCAACUCGGCCUUAUUGUUGUAUGCAAUAAAGUCAUCUUUUGGCAAUGGAACCCUCUGCUGAAAAUUAUUUUUCAUAAUCACUAAAAAAAUCCACAACAUUUGGCGCCCGAACAGGGACUGGAAAGGAGCAUGGAGGUGGAUGACCGUUGUGGGCUGAGUUUGGAUGAGCGGCAUACACAGGACCAGGUAAGCAGUUUUUGCUUAUUUACUGGUGUACUGUUGUGUUGCUCAUCUGGGUUGGCUCAUGGUGGACAGACUUUCAAAAUGCUCUUCCAACAUAAGAACUAAGAGUAAUACAAGUUAAAAAGGGUUCCAUUUCCAAGGAUUUUGAUGCAUGGUGUGAUAUUUUUAUGAUGAAGAAGGGAUUAAAACAGCCUGAGCUCAAGGUGUAAUCUGUGGUUUUGCUAAGUAAGCCUUGUUUUAGCAUUAACCUGGAACAGAUUGAUAAAUUGCUAAGGGGCAAUAAAAAGUUAAAUUGCUGAGGGGCAAUGAAAUAUAUAAUCUGUGUUUAUUUUUAAACAUAUAAAAGGCCUUUGACGAAGGGCCUUUGACGAAUAAAUAGACUGUAACAGAUUAUAAAAAAUGCUUAUUGCAAGAGGGCUAUUGAUUAGAUGUAAUAAGCUGAUACACUGUAAAUGAAUAAUUUGUAUAAAGAAAAAGUAAUGAGGUUUUGGAAGCAAAUCCAUGUUUCAAUUUGAUAGGUUAAGUAUUUAAGCACAUGUUGAUUUGACAUCAAUACUGCAUUUUAUUUACAGUGUAUGAAAAAAAUAAGAAAAAAUUAAAUAAUCUGUGUUUACUCUGUAAGAGGGCCUUGACGGAUACAGGUAGACUGGAACAGACUAUUAAAAAUGCUUAUGGAAUAAGCGGAUACACUGUAAAAUAAUGACAGCAAAAGGAAAAGUACUUUGGUUUUGCAAGCCAUUCAUGUUUUAUUUUGUUAUUUUAAGGUAACAAACAUAUAUGUUAAUUUGACAUUAAUGCUGCAUAUUUUACAGUGUAUGGAUAAAAAUGAUAUAAAAAAUAAAACAUAAAUAAAUAGAGCAUGAAACAAAAGUGUUAAAAAGUGGACAGGGGUCUGCACGGGCAGAAUUGAUUUUUAUGAAACAGCUCUUUAUAUAUGUUUAUAUAAUAGAGGUCUGAAUGGAUAAAAAAUUAUUCUGUGGAUACCGCCCUAAUGCAUGAUAAAAAGUUUGACUUGUGAGUAAAAGUGGAAAGGAUCCUCAACAGUGAAAAACAAGUGGUGUCAUGUUUAAAGUGUGAAUGACUGGGUGUAUGUUAUAAAUAGAGUGAGUGCAGGCCUGACUGAGUGCUGUGGAUGAAAGGAGCUAGCAGUGAAGUGAAAUAAUAUAAGUAAAAUAAUAAUAAUAAUAUAUUAUUUAUAUAAUAAAGUAAUAAGAGAUUUUAGGUAAAACUAUAAGUAAAUGGUAUAUAAAGGUUGAAAGGAGGUUUUUACAUCUAUAUUUUAAAUCUUAAUCCAAUGAAAAAUCUUUGUGCUUAAGACUAAAGGAAAAAAUAGUAUUACUUGACAAAUGAAACAAAUUGAAUUGAAAGAGAAACAUUAAUUACAGUAAGUAAGGAACUGCUUGAAAAACAUUUGCAGUGUAGAAAACGUAAUAUGGGAGAGAGGAUGAUAAGCUUGACGUUUAUGUAUAAAAGACUACUGUAAUAUUGCUAAAGUGUUUUUAUUUGUUAAUUGUCUAAUGGAGCUAAAAAAUUGCUGAACAAGAUAGAAAGGAUAAAAUGUAGAAUUAGCAGAUGUAGUGUAAAGUCAUAGCAGUUCUUCUUGUGGAAACAUCUAUUGGGCAGAGAACUGAUAAAGAAUGUGUCCAAGAAAUUGUCAUGAAGUGAACAUUUGAUGUUGCAAUGUGUAAAGAAAUGGAUAUUGUAAAUAAACCUAUAUUAAAUCAAAAGAAAAGAAGGAUGGAUUUGAAGAAAAAAGCAUUGGCAUUAUUAAUGAAUAAAGGAGAUAUAUAUGAUAGAAUGUUAAAGGAAGUUGAUAAUGGAACAAAAGAAAGUGUGUUAAAUGUUACUCUAUAUUUAUCAUGCAUACUGUAGAAGGUUGAUUUCCAAUACUCAAGGGCACUGUGGAAAUUAAAGGUAAAAUGUAAAUGAAAUGAUCAGAAGAUAUAAAAUAGGAAAAUUAAAUAGGUUUGGGAGUAAAUCUUACAAAUGAGGAAAGAUACUAAAUGAAAGAAAUUUAAAGUAUUAUCAGAAAGAGUAUAAGAGUGUAGAGUAAAAAGCCAAGUGGCAUUGUUUACACAAAGAUGUGAAAAAGAAGAUGAGGUAGGAAGAUAUAAAUAAAAAAUAAGAAAUAAAAAUAAGAAAAACAUUAAAAAGAAUUAAUGAAGUAAAAUAAGAAGAGAGUAGAGAGGGAGAGUAAAGAGGAGGUGUCAUCUGAUGGAGAAAUGUGGAUAUGGAAAAAAAGGAUGGCUUAGGCCAUUGGCCUUACAAUUUCUUAGUUUAAUAAAGGUAUUAAGGACCUUGGGAGGCUGAUCACUUACCCUCAGGCAUUCAUGGGGCUGGGAGAAGGACUAAGUUGUGGCAAUGGAGAAAUGAAAGAAAUCCUCCAAACCUCUGACCUGUGGACUAACGUUACAUGAGGAGGGACUAUUUUUGAACAUAUCAUAGCAGUGUGGCAGCCACUGCUUGGACUCUAAAGCACAGAGAGAAAACUGGGAGACACAGAGAAUCCAGUUUUGUUCAGAGACAAUAAAAAAGAGACUGAGGGAAAUCCAGAAGGAGACCCAGGAAUGACCACACUGUUUUGAAAUGCAAAGUGAAUAACAGUGAUGACUCUUGUGUUCAGCUACUUUCAGCAAUUCCUCCAAAAAACCAGACUCCUGUACCCAUCAUAAAUGACUUUGCAGCAUCACCAUCUCAGAAAGAAAACAACUUGAACUGGGAGAGACAAAGAAAACAUGCUGAGGACUACAAAAAACCUGGCCACGCCAAGAGAGACUUUUGCUAUAUCCAUGUACCAGCUCUGUCUCUUGUAUACUGGAAAAGAUUGGGAAGAAAAGGAUUUAUGGGAUAUGAUGAAAACAAAAAGCUAUACAAAGCCAGAGGGAUAAAUCCAUUAUGCUUAGGAAUAACAUUAGACUUAUGUGCUAAAGUAAAAAUAAUUUGUAAAUGCAAAGAAUAAAUACAGAUGAUAACAACAUGCAAGAUAAAGAAGAUGUAUUAAUUGUUAAAAGAUGUAGAGAACAAAGUACUAAUUGAAGUAUCCAAUUAAUGAUAUUGUAAGACUAACCAGUUGAUAUCCAGAUCCACAUUGCUAACAAAUGUUUUCCCAGAUGACAAAUACUGUAAUUGAUCUUUGCUUUAUAUAUUUAAGUAUUCAAACAGAAGAAAAUAUUUGUAUGUUUUUAUGAAAUUAAACCAUACAAUUUGGUAUAGGAACAAAGAGGCUUUCAAAAUAAUGAGGGAAUAUAUAUUCAAUGCACUGGACAAGUGGGGUUAAUUUCUGCUACAAUAUUAUUAAAUUAAUUGGCAAUCAUAAAAGAUUAAACUUAUAUAAAAAUGAAUGAUAAUUUUAUUAAUGGUAACAACACAGCAGAUUUGGAAGCUAAAGAAGUCUCAGAAUGCCAUACAGAAGUAGUGCUUCUAUAGUGUUAAUACAAAAGCCUUACUUAGAAGAUAUAAGGAAAAAAAAGAACAUGCUGGAUGUUAGGAAUAUUUUGUGGCACCUAAAGGGGGACAAAGAAAGACAUUCAAGACAUCUAAUGUACACAUUGGGGAUAAAUCAUUCUAUUGUACAGUAAAAUGUUACCUUUCCAGAUGGGUGGGUUUAAUUUCAAAUUAAAAACAGGUAUUAAAGAACAAAUUAAAAUUAAAGAUAAAAAAAAAGGGUAUUAUUCUCCAUAUUUGAGAAAUGGUCUCCAUAUCUGAAUUCAAUACUAGUUAAAUUUCAGUUCGACAGGUAAAGUUUGUGCCAAGAGUAAUGAUAAAAAAAAUAAUAAUAAUAAUGAUAGAAGAAGUAAUCCCUAGAUUUGAAAUACUAUUAGGAAUCAUUGUAUAUAAUGGAUCAGCAUUCAUGUAAAAAACAAAAAACAAAGUGAAUACUGCAACAAUAAAGAACAAAGAAAAGACUAAGAUGUGUUUACCAUCCUUAAUCAUAAAAAGUAUACCAUCCCUUCAACGUCAAACUCAGCAAAAAAAUGUGAAAGCAUGAAACUGAACUGACUGGAUGCUUUGUCUCUUGCAAUAACGAGUGACAGACUGCAAACUAACACUGCAUGGAAUGCUUAUUGGUCAACCAAUGCCAAUACCAAUGUCUGCGCAAUACUAUAUAACAAAAAUUCAUCCCCAAAAAGGACUUCCCCUGGAACGACUGCAGAUGGAGCUUUUGGAACAAUUACAAAUAAAGAUGAGAUCUUAUGUGAUAAAACUAACUGUAUGCAUAAGCUAUUUGUGUGCAGGAAAAAAGAAAAGGAGCCUGAUGAGGAGAUGGAGAUAAAAUGCCAUAUUAUGCCAUGGGAUCUAGUGUAUCUGAGGGUCUUCAGGAGAGAUUGACAUAAAACAAGGAUCAGGGAGAGCUGCCCUAACAGCAGGCCAGGGGGAAGGAGCACAUCUGAUGUUAUCUGAGCCAUUGCACAGAGUUCCUAAAAUACCAGUCGGAGAAGAGGACAACAAAAACACGAUACUGAAGAGGAGAGCUGGGGAGAAAAGGAGAACCAAAAACACGAUACAGAAGAGGAGAGCUGAGGAAAAGAAAAUAAUAAAAGACAUGAUACAGAAGACAACAACAGAAAAAUUUAAAGCAAUUCAAGCCUACAAAGAGAUAAAAGAACGAAGUAAUGACCACUCAGGGCAUAUCAAGCAACAACAACAAAGUUAGGAAAAACAUGUAAAUGAGAAGAGACUUUCAGGAGCAACAACCAAUGAGUGCAAAACAAUGGAAUUCACAAGCAAUACACAGGGACAAAGUUGCUGGUAAUGUGUAAAGGACACACAAGGAAAACGUCAAGGAAUUAGCCAUGAAAAUUGAAAAAUAAAGCUAAUAACCAGUUUGACAAUUAUCAGCAACAUAUGGUAAAUUCACACGACUGCAGUCAAUAAUCAAACUUUUCUUCAAUAAACUUUUCACCCAUCAGCAAGGAUCAGUAACACUUCAGCGAGGACCAGUAACACCAGUGAGAAUGUAAUCUACAAUAAUCUCAGGAAGAACAAAAUCUAGAUAAAAUACUGAAGAUACCAAAACAAAAAGGAGACAAGGACAUCAACAGAAGAAAAAGGAUGUCAACGGAAGGAAAAAAAAAAUAUGUUGGACAUUUUAUGGGAAAAAAAAAAAAAAAAAAAAAAAAACAUUAUGAAUGAAUGGUACAAAUGGGUAACUUUCAAAGCUAAGAGAAAUUGGUAUGAACAAUUGCUUAUUAUGCUCUAAAUCAUAAAAGGUAGGAAUAGUCAAAAGUCAACAUGAUAUUACAGGGGGGUUCGAUGUAACAAAUUGACAAAUUCUGGUGUUAUAAAAGAGAUGUUAUAAAAUUUUUAAUAAUUUGGGUGUUAGGUAUGGAAAGGGUGGACAAUGCUGGUAUACAGUAAAAAGAAUGUGGGAAUCAGAUCAUAGCACUGGACAUAGGAAGAUCCAACAGUAAUGUUAGCAGAAUUCUUUUGGUUUAAUUUUGAUUUGAUGGGAAAUGAUAACUUAUGGUGGUUUUGCAAUUAGAGAAGAAAUAUAUAUGUACAAGACUAAGGUUAAUUUAAGAAAUCAUCAUGAUUAUAGUGAAGUAUAUUGAACAAAAUACUGAGAAAACAAAUGAUAAAACUAAAAUAGUUUAUCCCUAAAUUGGUUUGGUAUUACCUGUUACAAUUUAAGCAAGAGAUGAGAUAAAAUCAUGGUUAGAAUAAAUAUUGAUUUAAUCUAGAAUUACUAAAUUAUAUCUACUAUAAUCAACACAGGUUUAUUAAAUUUAACUAAUGAUGUUUUAACAAUUUUAGAAAAACAAUGAGAUACUACAAAGGGGUAUAGUUUUAUUGUAUGGAGAUUAAUGUUAUGCUAACAAUACAACAUCAAAAUAGGUAUUUAUUGAAGCUAUCAAGAAACUUAAGAGUUUAUGAUAGAAACUGCAACUAAUACAGGAAGAAAGAAUCUUAAUGUGGAAUUGGUGUGAUUUAAAAUUAGGGAAUUGGGGAAAAUGGUUUGUCAAAUUAUCAAAGAUAUAUUUUGGUAUGUCAAAUGAUUCAUAGGUUAAAUGAUGCAAAUGAUUAAAGGUAUAGGUUAAAGGAUGAAUAUUAUCAAAGGUAUAAGGUAAAUGAUGCAAAUUAUCAGAGGUUAAGGAUUUGCAAGUUUAAUUGGAUGAAUUGUUAUUUUACUGUGUACUUCCUUUAUUGAAACAAAUGUUAAUGUUGAAAUAUCAAGAUGAAAAGUUACUUCAUAUAAGAAAUUACAAAGUGCAUCAAAAUGGGUUUUGCAAAAGUUAGAAAAUGGUAAUAUUACAUCAGAAAAAGAUAAUGAAAAUAAUAAGUAUUGAAAAGGUAUUUGACUAAUUUCCACUCUUAUGAUGAAUAUGUUUAUGAGUUCUGAUUUUACAGCAACAAUGACAUAAUGAAGUAUAUUCCAUGAUCAUAAAGGUUUAUUAAUUGAAGGAGUAGGUUCUUUUACUUCUCCAAGAAAAGAUGUUUGUUCCACACUCCACCAAAGUGCGGCAGCAUGAUUUAGUCAUUGGUAAAGGGAAAGAUGGCUUAGUUGGGCCAUUAAUUAGCUUAACUUAAUUGAACUGGAUUAUGAAGUUGCACUUUGGGUGAGACUUGUGAAAGUCUCAAAGGGUGGAAUGAAGAAGAUUUUUUAAUUCAGAACUAUAUCUUUGGUGAACAUGGUAUUCAGAUUCAAAUGUGUUUUGCAAGUAAACAUGUCUCAUGCUUGUAAACUGAAGACUAGCAGUCUUAAAAACUGCAAUGUAUGCAGAGUUUAAAAUAUGGUAACUGAGAGCAGAGCUAAAAAUGCAUAGGCUGACAUUUAAGGAAUGAAGUCACAACACCUGUCAAACAUAAAAACAUGCUAAAAACAACUACAUGGGAGGGGUUUCAACUUUUAGAGAACUGUAUAUUAGGUUGCAUUCUGAAAAAGACUCUUUAGUUGCUUGGCCACCAACUCGGCCUUAUUGUUGUAUGCAAUAAAGUCAUCUUUUGGCAAUGGAA